AUGGAGGCCGUCGAGGAAGUCACGGGUGUGGAGGUGAGGCCUGUGGAGGUGCCUGGAGCUGUACUGGAGGCUGUGGUGGUCUCAGAUGACGUGGUGGAGGACAAUGUGGAGGUCACGGGGGUUGUAGUGAGGCCUGUGGAGGUCCCAGGAGUGGUUGAGGAGGCCAUGGAGGUCACGGAAGAGGUGGUGGAGGACACAGUGGAGGUCCCCAAAGUAGAGGUGAGACCUGUGGAUGUUGCUGGAGUUGUGCUGGAGACAGUGGAGGUCUCAACAGAGGUGGUGGAAGCAGAUGUGGAGGUCAGAAGAGUGGAGGUGAGGCCAGUAGAGGUGCCUGGAGUUGUACUGGAGGCCGUGGAGGUCUCAGCUGAGGUGGUGGAGGCUGAUGUGGAGGUCAAAGGAGUGGAAGUGAGGCCUGUGGAGGUCCCUGGAGUGGUUGAGAAGGCUGUGGAGGUCUCAGAAGAGGUGGUAGAGGCCACAGUGGAGGUCACUGGUGUGGAGGUGAGGCCUGUGGCUGUUGCUGGAGUUGUGCUGGAGACAGUGGAGGUCUCACCAGAGGUCGUGGAGGACGAUGUGGUGGUCACUGGUGUGGUUGAGGAGGCCGUGGAGGUCUCGGAAGAGGUGGAGGAGGCAGAUGUGGAGGACACAGCUGUGGAUGUGAGGCCUGUGGAGGUGCCUGGAGCUGUACUGGAGGCUGUGGUGCUCUCAGAUGAUGUGGUGGAGGACAAUGUGGAGGUCAUGAGUGUUGUAGUGAGGCCUGUGGAGGUGCCUGGAGUGGUUGAGGAGACCGAGGAGGUCUCAGAAGAGGUGGUGGAGGCCACUGUGGAGGUCAUGGGUGUGGAGGUGCCUGGAGUUGUACUGGAGGCCGUGGAGGUCUCAGCUGAGGUGGUGGAGGCCAAUGUGGAGGUUAAAGGAGUGGAAGUGAGGCCUGUGGAAGUCCCUGGAGUGGACGAGGAGGCCGUGGAGGUCUCUGAGGAGGUGGUGGAGGCCGUGGUAGAGGUCACUGGAGUGGACGUCAGGCCUGUGGAGGUCAGUGGUGUGGUUGAAGAGACUGUGGAGGUUUCUGAGGAUGUGGUAGAGGCGGCUGUGGAGGUCCCCAGAGUGGAGGUCAGGCCUGUGGAGGUUCCUGGAGUUGUACUGGGCGCUGUGGAGGUCUCAGAAGAUGUUGUCGAGGCUGCUGUGGAGGUCAAAGGAGUGGAGGUGAGGCCCGUGGAGGUCAAUGGUGUGGUUGAAGAGACUGUGGAGGUUUCUGAGGAUGUGGUGGAGGCCGCAGCGGAGGUCACAGGCGUGGAGGUGAGGCCUGUGGAUGUUGCUGGAGUUGUGCUGGAGACAGUGGAGGUCUCAGCUGAGGUGGUGGAGGCAGCUGUGGAGGUCAAAGGAGUGGAGGUGAGGCCUGUGGAGGUCCCUGGAGUGGUUGAGGAGACCGAGGAGGUCUCAGAAGAGGUGGUGGAGACCACUGUGGAGGUCAUGGGUGUGGAGGUGCCUGGAGUUGUACUGGAGGCCGUGGAGGUCUCAGAAGAUGUGGUCGAGGCUGAUGUGGAGGUCAAAGGAGUGGUGGUGAGGCCCGUGGAGGUCAAUGGUGUGGUUGAAGAGACUGUGG
ensembl:lncRNA